CUAUUUUACUAUGAACCGGCGCACGGGUGAGUAACACGUGGGAACGUGCCCUGAAGUGGGGAAUAACGGCUGGAAACGGCCGCUAAUACCGCAUAAUACCGAGAGGUUAAAGAUUUAUUGCUUCAGGAGCGGCCCGCGCUAGAUUAGGUAGUUGGUAGGGUAAUGGCCUACCAAGCCGACGAUCUAUAGCUGGUCUGAGAGGAUGACCAGCCACACUGGGACUGAGACACGGCCCAGACUCCUACGGGAGGCAGCAGUGGGGAAUCUUGCGCAAUGGAGGAAACUCUGACGCAGCCAUGCCGCGUGGGUGAAGAAGGCCUUAGGGUUGUAAAAUCCUUUUAGUGGUGAAGAUGAUGACGGUAACCACAGAAAAAGCUCCGGCUAACUUCGUGCCAGCAGCCGCGGUAAUACGAAGGGAGCAAGCGUUGUUCGGAAUUACUGGGCGUAAAGGGCGUGUAGGCGGAUUUAAAAGUUAGAGGUGAAAUCCCUGGGCUCAACCUAGGAACUGCCUUUAAUACUUUAAGUCUAGAAUCCGGGAGAGGAUAGUGGAAUACCCAGUG
rnacentral:rRNA from 1 species